AAUGAACGUUGGCGGCGUGGAUUAGGCAUGCAAGUCGCGCGAUAAGUCCCCGCAAGGGGAUGGAAAGCGGCGAAAGGGACAGUAAUGCGUAGAUACCUACCCUCAGGAUCGGGAUAGCUGCGGGAAACUGCAAUUAAUACCGAAUAACGUCUCCGGACCAAAGGUGUGAUUCCGCCGGAGGAUGGGUCUGCGUCCUAUUAGCUAGUUGGUGUGGUAACGGCGCACCAAGGCAAAGAUGGGUAGCAGGUGUGAGAGCACGACCUGCGUCACUGGGACUGAGACACUGCCCAGACACCUACGGGUGGCUGCAGUCGAGGAUCUUCGGCAAUGGGCGCAAGCCUGACCGAGCGACGCCGCGUGCGGGAUGAAGGCCUUCGGGUUGUAAACCGCUGUCAGAGAGGCGGAAAUCUAGGGGGGUUCUCCCCUUUAGUUGACCUAAUCUCAGAGGAAGUGCGGGCUAAGUCCGUGCCAGCAGCCGCAGUAA
rnacentral:rRNA from 1 species